UCAAAUCCUCCUCCAUUAGCACUCAGCCGAUUGAAGCUUUCUAUCAAAUACACACACUUUUCUCUCUCUACAAAAUACUUUACACUCACUGAUGUAUAAAGUUCUGCUAUUUCUGAGGUCUCUUCCUUCCAAAUCUAUAUUUUUUUAAAAAUUAUAUUUAAUAUUUAAUUCAUUUUUUUUAAAUAGAAAAAUAAAGGCAGUGAUGUCAUAAUUAUUGCCAUCAAACUUUGAAAGCAUUAUUAAUGGGGCUUGUUGAUGCAAACAAAACAUAAUUCCUGAGCCUUUUUUUUUUAUUUAAUUUAAUUUGAAAUUAUUGUGAAAAAGUAAGAUCUGGAAUAAAAAGGCAACAAAUUAGAGUCACUGAUGCGCCAAAAAGUAAUAAUGGUGUAAAUAGCGCUGUACGUUGCCGAGAUUGAAUUGGUGCUGAUAUUCUGGCAUUGGCUUCUCUCUUGUUUUGCCUGUGCAUUCAUAUGCUCCCACAUUCAUUUUUUUUUUUUAAUUUAUUAAUUUAAUUUCGAAUUUUUAUAAAUUUAAUUAUGUAAAUUAAGCUACGUAGGGUUUAUUAUUGGCGGCUCUGGAUAUUUCUGUAAUUUGCGGUGAUUCACAAAAAGUAUUGAGGCGAGCUGAAUUUGUGUUCGUAUGACUCAAUUGUGAAGAAAUCGUCGCUAGAAAAAGCCUCUGUAUUUGUUCUUCGUCGAGAUUUUGAAUUUCCGAAGGUAAUUAUUUGGAGGCGUCCUCAUAUCCUAUCGCCUUGGGUAGCCGGUUGCGGCUAUGAUCUCUUGGGAUUGGCCAUGAGAAAGACAUUUUCUCUCUCUAGAAUUCAUUUUUUUUUUAUGAUUUGAUUUUUAUGAAUUGAUUUGUUUGAUGAAUUUUAGCCUGUGAUGAGAAACACAUAUAAAACACACCAUCUUUCGGGACUUAAUGGCCUUCGUAAGAAGUCCUUGCUGAUUUUAUUCUGCAAUUCUGAGGCUUAUUUAAUAUAUAUAUUUUUGAUUGUGGUUAUUAUAUAUUUUUCCCUCUCAUCGACACUAUUUUCUUGGUUUAAAGGAUUUUUCUCACUACAAAUUUCAAACGGAUUUUCUUUGUUGCAACCAUUCUCAAUAUCGUUUGAAAUAUUUUCAAGAGACCUUUGGCGCUGAAUUCUUCCAACUGUAACUCCAGUCUUCGGAUAGAUGCUUGAGUGGAUUUCAUAAAUUCUUCAAGGACGGAGUUCAAAUAACACUGCUGAACAGUGGGUCCUCGUGGCGUGUUGGUGUAUGUGUUCCAAUAACUGCCGUUGGUGUUAUCUAUGAAAUUAUUCGCUUUUGGUGCAUACCAACAUUGGUUGGUGUAAUGAUCUCCACCACAGAUUGAACAAAGUGACGGCAUAUUAUAGCUAUUUUGGAGGUAUUCGCCAGACAAAAGCCAUUCAUAUCCCGUUUGAGGUGCGCGAAAAUUGUAACCUGACAUGUAACUAAAGAAAAAAAUUAAAACGUAAAGAUAAAAGAAAAAAUUAAUUUGGGUGAAUCGUGAAAAUUGUUCAAAUUUAGAGCUAGAAUAAAAUAAAUAAUUAAAAUAUUCCCUGGCAACGGCGUCAAAAACUUGGUGUAAUACCUACACGCAAGUGCACGUAUCGUACAAAUAAUAUAGUGGACUAAAAGUCCGGAUAUCGAACCCACAGAGAAUAUUUAAUUAUCUAAUCCUAAACGCUAAAUUCUACCAAUUGUUAUCAAGCCCACCAUACACAGUCGAAUUUAGAAGAAUUAACUAGAUUAAAUUAAAUUAAAAAGCAAAUUAAAACGACAAAGCAAGAAAGCAAAUUAAACACGAAGGUUUAUCAGAGUAAACAAGCCUAUGAUUUUAUUCUUCCCCCUAUGUGAUUAUUAUUUCCCCAAUUCUUUCAAUUAUGCAAUCAAUUAACCCGGAUUAUUAACCUGAGAUGCUAAAAUAAUCAUAACCCGUUUCCGCGUGUAUUACGAUUCUAAUACUCUAGAUUCAAUUACUAUAUUCCUAUGCAAUUAAUUCUCGAACACAACAUUAAGCACAAAUCUCAAUAAUGGCUACCUAAGAGAUUAACUAUAUUCCUAUGUUAAUACCACAAAGGCUCUUCUACCACAGUUCUAAUUAUUAACCCGAUCUUCCGAUUCAUGCGAUUAACAAUAACAUAAACUGAAAUGAUUUGUGCAGGCCAAAAUUAAACAUUCAGGCACAUUUUUUACCAUUUUUCAAAAAACAAAAAGUAAAAAAA
rnacentral:lncRNA from 1 species